AACGAACGCUGGCGGCAUGCCUAACACAUGCAAGUCGAACGAGACCUUCGGGUCUAGUGGCGCACGGGUGCGUAACGCGUGGGAACCUGCCCUUAGGUUCGGAAUAACUCCCUGAAAGGGGUGCUAAUACCGGAUAAUGUCUUCGGACCAAAGAUUUAUCGCCUUUGGAUGGGCCCGCGUUGGAUUAGCUAGUUGGUAGGGUAAAAGCCUACCAAGGCGACGAUCCAUAGCUGGUCUGAGAGGAUGAUCAGCCACACUGGGGCUGAGACACGGCCCAGACUCCUACGGGAGGCAGCAGUGGGGAAUAUUGGACAAUGGGCGAAAGCCUGAUCCAGCAAUGCCGCGUGAGUGAUGAAGGCCUUAGGGUUGUAAAGCUCUUUUACCCGGGAUGAUAAUGACAGUACCGGGAGAAUAAGCUCCGGCUAACUCCGUG
rnacentral:rRNA from 1 species